UCGCUCUCCUCCUCCUCCUCGUCACCCUGCGUUUGCUCGCGGAGACGUCGCUGGAGCAUGAUGCUGAAGUGGUUCACCACCUUGUUCCUCCUGUGCGUGUAACAAAAACCCUCCUCCGCAGUGAGAGUUCUGUGUUUCGCCACCGGAGUGAAGUUGUACCAGCCGUGAACAGGGAAGGCUUCAAAGGCUCCAUCGGGACACUGGGUGAAGAUGUAGUAGGACGCAUUCUCUGUGACGCCGCCCUUUUUCAGACCUUUGAACCUUGUAUCGACAGGCAGAGAGAGAGGGUCGUUGAGGUUUCGUUCUAAUGAUUAGAAGUUAUGGCCAACGGUAAAAGGAUAAAGUGUUUUUCCAUCACACCUUUUUCCAGCCUUGCCGUUGACUUUAAGAAUCCAAGGCUGGUCCUCCGGUUUGAACUCCCGCGUGACAAUGCCAAACUUCUUCCGCCGCGCCUCCUCGCGCUGCUUUUUGCCAAACUCGCUGCCAGCUGCCCCCUCCGGUGUCUCUUCUUCACCAUAUAUCUUCCGAGCACUCAUGUCUCUCUCCAUACGAGCCUGAGGGAAGGGGUUCAGAUAGGUAUGACUAAAAAUUUAGAUUCUCUUCAUAUUAUGGUGCAAUCACAACACGAGAUUAUCUGUCAACACUAAUCGCCAAGACUGUCAUUCCAUUGGGCCUCAACAUUAUUGGAGGUAAACAAUUGCUCAACUUACCUGUGUCCACGUUGAACAGUUGACUUUAUCCCCGGCGUUAAAAGCCAUGAUGUUGUAUUUCUUGUUAGUAUUUCUAUGGGGGGAUGGGAGGAGGGGGGGACGAAUACACUCUUUUAAACGCCUAUCAGUGAUUGAGCAACAUAUAUUGAUGCACAACAAGUCACAUUUCGGGAUCCAGGUAUGUUCUCGUGAUUAUCUACAGGACAUUGAAUGCCGCUGUGUGUUACUCACUUAGGCACUCGCACAAUGUAUUCAGUGCCGGAAGAACUGCUGCUCCCCUGUAACACAAGCAGUUUUUCUGACAGUGUUCCAUUGUUCCCCUAUCUCCCAAAUCAGUAGCCGACCAAAUACAUUGUAACAAAA